rnacentral:ncRNA from 2 species
CAAAUUACCAAUCUCCGAGUUGCAGAACCUGUCGGGUAAAACCCCAUGGCCUGCAACCUGCGGGUGUCGCCGGAAACAGCGCCGCCCUCCUUUAGAAAAGGGGAAUCGUGUAAAUGACA